GAUGAACGCUGGCGGCGUGCCUAAUACAUGCAAGUCGAGCGAACAGACGAGGAGCUGUCUCCUCUGACGUUAGCGGCGGACGGGUGAGUAACACGUGUAUAACCUACCUAUUAGACUGGGAUAACUUCGGGAAACCGGAGCUAAUACCGGAUAAUAUAUUGAACCGCAUGGUUCAAUAGUGAAAGACGGUUUUGCGGUAGCUUAUAGAUGGACACGCGCCGCAUCAGCUAGUUGGCAAGGUAACGGCUUACCAAGGCAACGAUGCGUAGCCGACCUGAGAGGGUGAUCGGCCACACUGGCACUGAGACACGGUCCAGACUCCUACAGGAAGAAGCAGUCGGGAAUCUUCCGCAAUGGGCGAAAGCCUGACGGAGCAACGCCGCGUGAAUGAUGAAGGUCUUCGGAUCGUAAAACUCUGUUAUUAGGGAAGAACAAAUGUGUAAGUAACUAUGCACGUAUUGACAGUACCUAAUCAGAAAGCCACGGCUAACUCCGUG
rnacentral:rRNA from 1 species